GACGAACGCUGGCGGCGUGCCUAAUACAUGCAAGUCGAACGCAGGGGGGACGGGUGAGUAACACGGGGGAAACCUCCCAUCAGAGGGGAUAACACUUGGAAACAGGUGCUAAACCGAUACUGAUGGAUGGACCCGCGGUGCAUUGGCUAGUUGGUGAGGUAACGGCUCACCAAGGCCACGAUGCAUAGCCGACCUGAGGAGCGGAUCGGCCACACUGGGACUGAGACACGGCCCAACCUCCUACGGGAGGCAGCAGUAGGGAAUCUUAGGCAAUGGACGAAAGUCUGACCGAGCAACGCCGCGUGAGUGAAGAAGGUUUUCGGAUCGUAAAACUCUGUUGUUAGAGAAGCGGUAUCUAACCAGAAAGCCACGGCUAACUACGUGCCAGCAGCCGCGGUAAUUC
rnacentral:rRNA from 1 species